GUGAUUCAUUAAUGUGUGCUGUUAUUCAUUCAGUUAUGGUACCAUACACUCACCCUGUCUAGGCAGUUCUGAUAAGUGAUCAUGCUCAAUACUGCAGAAACUACAGAUAAAAGAGAACAGCUAUGCUCUGCCCAGGAAAGCUUCUGGUCUCAAACUAAUUCCUGAUAUUCCUCGUGCAAGAGGGAAGAGGCACACAGGAAUAAAAACAUCUAAGUGCUGCUGUAAGGGCUAGGGCUCAGGCCUCUGGGUCUAACUUGAGGUGCUUGUUCACUAGCUCUUCUUAUUUUUCUUUUGCUAGCCUUGUGCACAAGCAUGAAAAAAUGAAGUUUCUUAAGAACAAUAUGCUGUUCUUAUUAAAUUGCAAAGGAAGUCUGCAAUAUACCUAAGUCAAGCCUUUAGCAGACCCGUGAGGUUUCAUAUUAUCCUAUGCUUGAAUGAGGCAGAUGACUGGAGCAAAAACCAGCUAAUGACAUAAAAGCAUUCUUCUACUUUCAGUCUCUCUUAAUUAAGGACUUGGUUAAUGUUUCAGUGCUGGGAAUUAUAAAGCUUCAUCAGGGAGGUUAAUAUGUUUUUUAUUUUAUCUUUCAGCUGACAGGAGAAAAAAAAAAUCAAAACAAAAAAGAGAAGGCGAUUAAGUCAUGUGCCAGUCAGAAUCCCACAGUGAAGGCAGUAUCAGGACAUACCAAAGACCACUGCUGCACAUGGUGGAUUUAGCAGCUAUUUCCAAAGUCAGAUUUCUGAGCAGAUGAGACUUUUGUCUGCCAGUUUAGACACAUGGGUUUUAUUCCUUGAAUUCACACAAAUAACCAAGACAGCUCUAUACUAGAUUAGCUACAAAAGAUCUCUACGUUAUUAACCAUUUCAGAAUCACUUGCGCCUACCUUGCUAGUGUUAGAAGAGAGUGACUAUGGGCCUGAUCUUGUACACCUGAAAAACAAAUCUGGCAUCCAGACAUCUGCUUCAGUUGUUUUAUGGAGGAAUCCAGUGAGACAGCGCCUGGUUCUGGAGUGACACAUGGAGCUCUCGGGCUUGUUGCCACAUCCACUGUUACGAUCAGAGAUUAUUGCUCCCAGCCUGAUGUCAAGCAGAGACUAAUCAAAUGUGAGAUGGGUGAACAGAGGCAGAGUCAUGGAGCUGGCUCUUCAUAAUCUGUUACUAUUGAUCUUCUUUGUACUGCAGCAGCACACAGGGGUCCCAAUCAUGGAACUAGACCAUAGCAUAUUGUCCAAAAAUCUCAGUGCCUUUCUUCAACAUGAUACUUUAUUCACUGUCUUGCU